rnacentral:lncRNA from 1 species
UCAUUUUAAAGCAGUAUUGCUCCAUGAUCGUUAUGUUUUCCCAUAGGAAAUAAACGUUUUUGGCCUGGUCCUGAGGAGAAUGCAAUGCUCACACCAGAACAGCUGCUGCAGGAGCACCAUCUCAGAGGGCAUCACAGAGACCAUCACAGCUACAAGCAUCUGAAAGACUGAAGGACUCCAAAGGGGGUAGACAACACACUGUAGAUGCAUGGACAGCGAUCUGAGAGUCAAAGAUACGAGCAGAGACAUGUAGGGAUGUCACACUAUACACAAGCUCCAUUUCUAAUUGUUCUGUGGUGGAGUUACAUGACCGAACAGGGCUGUGGAUGUUGUCUGCUGUGCUUGUAA